rnacentral:rRNA from 1 species
GACGAACGCUGGCGGCGUGCUUAACACAUGCAAGUCGAACGGAGUGGCGAACGGGUGAGUAACACGUGGGUGAUCUGCCUUGCACUUCGGGAUAAGCUUGGGAAACUGGGUCUAAUACCGGAUAGUGCAAGAUGAGCUCGCGGCCUAUCAGCUUGUUGGUGGGGUAAUGUCCUACCAAGGCGUCGACGGGUAGCCGGCCUGAGAGGGUGUCCGGACACAGUGUGACUGAGAUACGGCUCAGACUCCUACGGGAUGCAGCAGUGGGGAAUAGUGCAAAAUGGGCGGAAGUCUGAUGCAGGGACGCUGCGUGGGGGAUGAAGGCUUUCGGGUUGUAAGCUUCUUGCGACAGGGACGCGGUACCUGUAUAAGAAGCACCGCCUAACUACGUUCCAUCAGCCGCGGUAAUAC